rnacentral:tRNA from 1 species
GGUCUCGUAGUGUAGCGGUUAACACGCCUGCCUCUCACGCAGGAGAUCGCGGGUUCGAUUCCCGUCGAGACCGCCA